CGCGGGGUAGAGCAAUUGGUAGCUCGUCGGGCUCAUAACCCGGAGGUUGCAGGUUCAAGUCCUGUCCCCGCAACCA
rnacentral:tRNA from 7 species